CUUAAGGUAGAUAGGGUGUCUUCCUCCAUCUUGGAUUUUGAAAUACCAGAAAACAAGGUCUAGAACUUUAAUCAAAUGUGCAAAUUUUGAGAUUAGAAGUUAAUUCAUGUGUAAGAAUUUUUUAUUAUGAUAUAGAAAAUGCCAUGUUUUAUUAUAUUUAUGGUUGUAUUUUUCAAAAAAACGAUUACUUUUGUUUGAUUCAAUUUUUUCCAACUUUGCCAAAAAAGGGGAGACAACUCAAAUGCAAGGGCAGAUAAUUCAGAUAGUGUUACUUUUACAAUAGAAUGUAUUAGGAAUUUACCAAUUUUACUAUGUAGCAAGAAAACGAGUCCGGUGACCCCAUUUUUUCUUUUUCUUAUCUGAAAGCAUAAUAUUGGAGCUAUCUUCUCAUAUUUUAUCUCAAAAUUCUAUGGUGCAGUUUUUUUUUUAUGACGCAAAAUUAGGUUUUCCAUGCAUAAUCUAU
rnacentral:lncRNA from 1 species